rnacentral:rRNA from 1 species
AAUGAACGCUGGCGGCGUGCUUAACACAUGCAAAUCGAGCGAGAAAGAUCUUCGGAUCGAGUAAAGCGGCGGACGGGUGAGUAACGCGUGAGAAUCUGCCUUUUAGUGAAGAAUACCCUCGAGAAAUCGAGGUUAAUGCUGCAUAAGUCUCGAAAGAGAGAAAGAUGGCCUCUUGCUGUCGCUAAAAGAUGAGCUUGCGUACUAUUAGCUAGUUGGUGGGGUAAAGGCCUACCAAGGCGAUGAUGGUUAGCCGGCCUGAGAGGGUGUACGGCCACACUGGAACUGAGACACGGUCCAGACUCCUACGGGUGGCUG